rnacentral:lncRNA from 1 species
AUCUCAAUGACUUACUGCAGAUACCAGGAUAAAGAUCACAGGUUAAAAGGGGAAGAGGUAACUUUUACGUACAUCGCUUCUUCCACUUCCCUUUCUGUAUAAGAAGGAACCCUCCUACCCAGCCCAAAGAACUACUCAUCCACACAUGGGGUCGGUCAGAGCAGCUGACUUUGCCCACACCUGUGGUGCAGCAGAACACAUUCUGCACAAGGCUGAGUACUUAUAGAGUUGCCUCUGUAUGGACCUGCCCUCUUCGUCCUGUCACCAAACCUCUUCAUUUUUGCCAGGAAGCCGUUUCUACACCCAUUUGGAAUGAACAUAGCCCAGGUACGCAGUCGAAGUGCAAAGUGCAAGACAGAAGAAACCACCAGCGCUGUGUUCUGCAAUUAUAUAAAUUGGAAUCUGGGUUCUGCGCAAGGCCCCAGUAUAAAUUAGAAGACCUACAUAAUUCACGGGGAAUCCUCUUUCAUAUCAUGCAUGAGAAUCUGAUUCUCCAGUACUGUGAGAUAUACCAGAUGCCCCGGGAUGUAUCUACUGUUGAUUUUUGUGGCAGUCAGCUGGGAGUGUCAGCCCACAGGGACUUUUUCUUGGAUCAACAAAUUAACACAUUACCCAAAAUGAAGGUGGUUCUCUCCAGGUUUCAAAAAAAAAAAGUACUUAAAUCUACUGGAAGGUGACUCUUAUCGCAACAUUUGGAAUCUUUUUCACUAAACUUUAAAGAAAUGAUGCUUGACUAAUGGAUGUCCAGAAUAUCCCAGAACUUUUCAAAUGGACAUUAAGAUAACUCCUGCUACUGCUUUUGUUUGUACCGGAGUAAGCUGUAGAAACUCUGUCAAGAUCACUGCUUAUGAAGUGUGGGCAGAUGCACUGAUUUUGGAGAAUGCUUUUUCCGUUGCACUGAGUAGCUCUCCUGAAACUGCUGGAAUUAUAUAAUCCCAGGUGUCGAGCUCAAUUCAAGGACAGUGUUCAAAAAAUAUCUUUUACUCAAUAGCUAUUGGGAGAUAUUGCCAUGUGUCUCCACGUAUGUGAAUCUUAGUUAAAUGGGAAGAAAUAUAUUAAAAAGUUUCUGUGUGUAUCUGCUAGGAAGAAAGCACACUCAACUUGAAGGUCAUUUUAAAAUUACCCUUGAAAAAUGUUAAGACUUCCUUGUUUAUUUUGUACAACAUAAUUAGGUUAUGCUUUCAUCCUGAGCAAAGAUAGAUACUGGAGAGUCAAGCUGUAUCAUAGUUGUUUGCAUUACUAUUUUACUUUCUUGAUGGUUUCCAUUAGGAAAUAGAGUAUCUCCUCGGAAAGCUUCAGAUGGAAAAUGCCCUAAUAGAAAAAUGCUCUGAGUCCUGUAGAUGGUGG